AAUAUUGGACAAUGGGCGAAAGCCUGAUCCAGCCAUGCCGCGUGUGUGAAGAAGGUCUUCGGAUUGUAAAGCACUUUAAGUUGGGAAGAAGGGUUGUCGGUUAAUACCCUGCAAUUUUGACGUUACCAACAGAAUACUCACCGCCUAACUCUGUGCCAGCAGCCGCGGUAAUACAGAGGGUGCAAGUGUUAAUCGGAAUUACUGGGCGUAAAGCGCGCGUAGGUGGUUCAGUAAGAUGGAGGUGAAAUCCCCGGGCUUAACCUGGGAACUGAUUACAUAACUGCUGAGCUAGAGUACGGUAGAGGGUAGUGGAAUUUCCUGUGUAGCGGUGAAAUGCGUAGAUAUAGGAAGGAACACCAGUGGCGAAGGCGACUACCUGGACUGAUACUGACACUGAGGUGCGAAAGCGUGGGGAGCAAACAGG
rnacentral:rRNA from 1 species